GGAGUAACAUGCUUAAAUAACAAUUUCAAACAUCUGUUAGGUUUUCUAAAGAAAUUAACACAACCCAGUAGCGUAAGAGCAUGGAGAAGCCAUAAUCAGAAGACAACAAAAGUGAAUUCAAGUGUUUUCACUUUCAAGGGCUUAAUACAACAAGGAUACAUACAAUUUUUCUUCUUUUUUUUUUUUUUUCUCCUUUUCCUUUUAAGCCUAUCUUCAAUUAUCAAGACCUGGCUUUAUUCCAUACAAGUUAAACUACUUUGUCUUCCCACCAUCUUCAAAAGGGCAGUCCUAGUUUGAGAGAAGUAUCCGAGCUAUCAUCUUCAGCAAGAGGGCCACUGCUGCAGCUGCAUACGUUGGUGGCGGAUUCUGAUGACAUGCCUUCUUCCUGCUGGACAGCCAAAUCCGAAUCCAAAAGAACUGGCCUUUUUCCCUUGCACAAUGUCAUCAUCUUCUGUUUUAGCGCUUUAUUCUCUUCUAGCAGAAGAGCUCCCUUCUUUUCAAGUGCAGAGAUCUCAUUCAUCAUCUUAUCUCCUUUAGUUUCAAGCACACGGCUAAGUCCUGUUUCAAGCAUUUUUUCCAAUUGCUGCAAGUCCUCGAUGUUUAAUCCUUGCAGAUCCUCUCCCCUCAUCUGCCUGAGUUGAUGAGUCUUUUCAGCCACCUCCUUGCUCAACCGCUCGUGAUUGCUAUUCUGUAGCUCCAACUCAAGAGAUGGUCGGUCUAAUUUAUCGAGCUUAUUGGAAUGCAGAUUAUGCCUUGCAAUUAUGUCCUUCAUACUGGAGCUGCAAUACUCAAACAGCUUGCCAGUAGCAGAGAAAAUGAUGAGAGCAACAUCAGCAUCGCAAAGAACAGAAAGCUCUUCAGCUUUCUUGAAAAGACCUCGUCUCCUCUUGGAAAAAGUCACUUGCCUGGCUGUGAUGUUGUCAAU
rnacentral:misc_RNA from 1 species